rnacentral:rRNA from 1 species
UACGUAGGGUGCAAGCGUUAAUCGGAAUUACUGGGCGUAAAGCGUGCGCAGGCGGUUGUGCAAGACAGAUGUGAAAUCCCCGGGCUCAACCUGGGAACUGCAUUUGUGACUGCACGGCUAGAGUGUGUCAGAGGGGGGUAGAAUUCCACGUGUAGCAGUGAAAUGCGUAGAUAUGUGGAGGAACACCGAUGGCGAAGGCAGCCUCCUGGGCCAGCACUGACGCUCAUGCACGAAAGCGUGGGGAGCAAACAGG